UGCAAGUCGAACGGUAACAUUGGUGCUUGCACCAGAUGACGAGUGGCGCACGGGUGCGUAACGCGUAUGCAAUCUACCUUUUACUAGAGUAUAGCCCAGAGAAAUUUGGAUUAAUCCUCUAUAAUAUCUUUAAGUUUCAUGACUUUUAGAUUAAAGUUUUAACGGUAAAAGAUGAGCAUGCGUCCUAUUAGUUUGUAGGUGAGGUAACGGCUCACCUAGACUUCGAUAGGUAGGGGCCCUGAGAGGGGGAUCCCCCACACUGGUACUGAGACACGGACCAGACUCCUACGGGAGGCAGCAGUAAGGAAUAUUGGACAAUGGACGAAAGUCUGAUCCAGCCAUGCCGCGUGCAGGAUGAAAGCCCUAUGGGUUGUAAACUGCUUUUAUACAGGAAGAAACACUCGUACGUGUACGAGCUUGACGGUACUGUAAGAAUAAGGACCGGCUAACUCCGUGCCAGCAGCCGCGGUAAUACGGAGGGUCCGAGCGUUAUCCGGAAUCAUUGGGUUUAAAGGGUCCGCAGGCGGUCUUUUAAGUCAGAGGUGAAAGCCUACAGCUCAACUGUAGAACGGCCUUUGAUACUGAAAGACUUGAGUUAUUAUGAAGUGGUUAGAAUGUGUGGUGUAGCGGUGAAAUGCAUAGAUAUCACACAGAAUACCGAUUGCGAAGGCAGAUCACUAAUAAUAUACUGACGCUCAUGGACGAAAGCGUGGGGAGCGAACAGGAUUAGAUACCCUGGUAGUCCACGCCGUAAACGAUGGAUACUAGCUGUUCGUCUAACAUUGGUUAGAUGAGUGGCUAA
rnacentral:rRNA from 1 species